AUGAAGUCAUACGGCUCUUGAGUCCAACAGUCCAGUCUCUCCGAUGGAGAAGGUGGUAGUUUCCUGCUGGAAUGCAGUAAAAUAAGUCAUGGUGUUUUUGGUUAGCGUUAGUCGCUAAGAAAACUCCUUUUGUCAUUGUUUUCACGAUGCCAAAUAUCUGGGCGUCUAGGUUGUUUAUGUCAGAAAGUGACGGAAACAAGCACGACAGUCCCAGAACUGCAGGGCACUGAAGCUCUGAAUGACACCAGUCCCUUAUGACGUGGACAGGAAGGUUAAAUGAAAAGGCCCUGGUGCUGGCUGCACUGCAGUCUGACUCUGCGACUACGAACAAUUUGUUUCCCAUCACGUCCCUCAGUUUCUCCACCUGGAAAAUGGACAUGACAGUGCCAGGCCUACGCUCUUCCAAAGGCAUCUCUAGAGAGGCAGUAGCCGCAAAGGCGUCCGGCUAAAGCUGCAUUGCGGACGCUUAGCGUGGAUGGGGUUGCACAGGAUGCAACAGUUAUCUCCGUUGUCAACUUACUUAUUAAAUUGGCGAUAAAUAAAUAAAAUAAAUAGGCAAA